rnacentral:tRNA from 1 species
GCCUGGCUGGCUCAGUUGGAAGAGCAUGUGACUCUUGAUCUCUGGGUGGUGGGUUUGAGCCCCAUGUUGGGUG